rnacentral:rRNA from 1 species
GACGAACGCUGGCGGCGUGCUUAACACAUGCAAGUCGAACGGUAAGGCCCUUCGGGGUACACGAGUGGCGAACGGGUGAGUAACACGUGGGUGAUCUGCCCUGCACUUCGGGAUAAGCCUGGGAAACUGGGUCUAAUACCGGAUAGGACCCUGGGAUGCAUGUCCUGGGGUGGAAAGCUUUUGCGGUGUGGGAUGGGCCCGCGGCCUAUCAGCUUGUUGGUGGGGUGAUGGCCUACCAAGGCGACGACGGGUAGCCGGCCUGAGAGGGUGACCGGCCACACUGAGAGUGAGAUCCGGCCCAGACUCCUACGGGAGGCAGCAGUGGGGAAUAUUGCACCAUGGGCGCAAGCCUGAUGCAGCGACGCCGCGUGAGGGAUGACGGCCUUCUGGUUGUAAACCUCUUUCAGCACCGACGAAGCGCAAGUGACGGUAGGUGCAGAAGAAGGACCGGCCAACUACGUGCCAGCAGCCGCCGUAA